rnacentral:piRNA from 1 species
AAGUAGACACUAUGACACAAAAU